rnacentral:rRNA from 1 species
UACGUAGGGUGCGAGCGUUGUCCGGAAUUACUGGGCGUAAAGCGUGCGCAGGCGGCUUCUCAAGUCAGGGGGUGAAAGCCCAGAGCUCAACUCUGGAAUUGCCUUUGAGACUGAGUGGCUUGAGUACGAGAGAGGUGAGUGGAAUUCCCAGUGUAGAGGUGAAAAUUCGUAGAUAUUCGGAAGAACACCAGUGGCGAAGGCGACUUACUGGACACAUAUUGACGCUGAGGUGCGAAAGCGUGGGGAGCAAACAGG